GACGUAGGGCGCGAGCGUUGUCCGGAUUUAUUGGGCGUAAAGAGCUCGUAGGCGGCUUGUCGGCGUCGACUGUGAAAUCCCGCGGCUCAACUGCGGGUCUGCAGUCGAUACGGGCAGGCUAGAGUUCGGUGAGGGGAGACUGGAAUUCCUGGUGUAGCAGGUGAAAUGCGCAGAUAUCAGGAGGAACACCGGUGGGCGGAAGGCGGGUCUCUGGGCCGAUGACUGACGCUGGAGGAGCGAAAGCCGUGGGGAGCGAACAGG
rnacentral:rRNA from 1 species